rnacentral:rRNA from 1 species
CAGCCGCCGCGGGAAUACGUAUGUCACGAGCGUUAUCCGGAUUUAUUGGGCGUAAAGCGCGUCUAGGUGGUUAUAUAAGUCUGAUGUGAAGAUGCAGGGCUCAACUCUGUAUUGCGUUGGAAACUGUAUAACUAGAGUACUGGAGAGGUAAGCGGAACUACAAGUGUAGAGGUGAAAUUCGUAGAUAUUUGUAGGAAUGCCGAUGGGGAAGCCAGCUUACUGGACAGAUACUGACGCUGAAGCGCGAAAGCGUGGGUAGCAAACAGGAUUAGAUACCCCCGUAGUCCCUGUCUCUUAUACC